ACAGGACGAACGCUGGCGGCAUGCCUAACACAUGCAAGUCGAACGGAGUCGAGGGGCUUGCUCCUUGAACUUAGUGGCGGACGGGUGAGUAACGCGUGAGUAACCUGCCUUUCAGUGGGGAAUAAUAUCUGAAAAGAGUACUAAUACCGCAUAACGUAUAGAAACCGCAUGAUUUUUAUACCAAAGAUUUAUCGCUGAGAGAUGGACUCGCGUCCGAUUAGCCAGUUGGUGAGGUAACGGCUCACCAAAGCAACGAUCGGUAGCCGGACUGAGAGGUUGAACGGCCACAUUGGGACUGAGACACGGCCCAGACUCCUACGGGAGGCAGCAGUGGGGGAUAUUGUGCAAUGGGGGAAACCCUGACACAGCCAAUGCCGCGUGAAGGAUGAAGGUCUUCGGAUUGUAAACUUCUUUUGUCAAGGACGAUAAUGACGGUACUUGACGAAUAAGCUCCGGCUAACUACGUGCCAGCAGCUGC
rnacentral:rRNA from 1 species